AUAUUAGUUAAAAAUAUUAAAAUUAAUUUAAUAUAUUUUUAUCAUAAAAUGUUAAAAAUAAUAAAAAAAAUUUUAACUAAUUUUUAACAAUAUUUAAAAUAAUAAAAAAAUGCUUUUUUUACGCAAAUUUCAAUGUUAAAUAAGACUUCAUUUAAGAUGCUGUUUUUUAAUAUUUUUAACCUCUGAUCUCAAUACCAAAUGGAGCCUAAUAGUAUUAUAAAUACUUGCUUUCAG
rnacentral:misc_RNA from 1 species